rnacentral:rRNA from 1 species
GUGAGGAAUAUUGGGCAAUGAGCGAAAGCUUGACCCAGCCAAGCCGCGUGCAGGAUGACGGCCCUACGGGUUGUAAACUGCUUUUGUACGGGAAGAAACACUCGUUCGUGAACGGGUCUGACGGUACUGUACGAAUAAGCAUCGGCUAACUCCGUGCCAGCAGCCGCGGUAAUACGGAGGAUGCAGGCGUUAUCCGGAUUUAUUAGGUUUAAAGGGUGCGUAGGCGGGAUGGUAAGUCAGUGGUGAAAGCCUACAGCUUAACUGUAGAAAUGCCAUUGAUACUGUCGUCCUUGAGUGCAGGCGAUGUAAGCGGAAUGUGUCGUGUAGCGGUGAAAUGCUUAGAUAUGACACAGAACACCGAUUGCGAAGGCAGCUUACUAGACUGUAACUGACGCUGAGGCACGAAAGCGUGGGUAGCGAACAGGAUUAGAAACCCGUGUAGUCC